AGAGCGAACGCUGGCGGCAGGCUUAACACAUGCAAGUCGAGCGCCCCGCAAGGGGAGCGGCAGACGGGAGAGUAACACGUGGGAACGUACCUUUCGGUUCGGAACAACCCAGGGAAACUUGGGCUAAUACCGGAUACGUCCGUAAGGAGAAAGAUUUAUCGCCGAAAGAUCGGCCCGCGUCUGAUUAGCUAGUUGGUGAGGUAACGGCUCACCAAGGCGACGAUCAGUAGCUGGUCUGAGAGGAUGAUCAGCCUCACUGGGACUGAGACACGGCCCAGACUCCUACGGGAGGCAGCAGUGGGGAAUAUUGGACAAUGGGCGCAAGCCUGAUCCAGCCAUGCCGCGUGGGUGAUGAAGGCCCUAGGGUUGUAAAGCCCUUUCGGCGGGGAAGAUAAUGACGGUACCCGCAGAAGAAGCCCCGGCUAACUUCGUGUCAGCAGCCGC
rnacentral:rRNA from 1 species